UAACCAAUAUAGGCGGUUCUUAGUGAAAUGGUUGGGUAAGAAUGCUACUGAGAAUACUUGGAUUGCUGAAUAUGAUUUAAAGAGGAUUGUUGCAGAGAGAUAUGCUGAAGUUGUUAAAGCUUUCUCGCCAGAGUCGACUUCUUCCCAAGCUGGUGGAGGAGUUGAUGCAUGAUCAUCUGUUCGUUAGCCAAGUCAUUUCAACACACGCAGAAAACCCACAACCACAAAAGCUUUGGAAAAUAAAAAUGCCUAGUGAAUUUUAAAGCAAUCUCAAACAACAUGGCAGAGCUUGAUGAGAUAUAAAAUAGAGAAGAUCCAAACAACAUGAGACCCAUGGAUAUGGUAAAAGUAUUUUCUUUUAUUUGGCCAAGCCUUCAAGGAAGAAGACUAUGUCGUUUGUUGAUGCAAAAUCUCAUUUUAAUGAUGUGGCGUUGGUAAACUUUUCUUUAAACAUAGUGCUUGAUGAACAAGUAAUCUGCCAUUUGCAUAUAUUUAUAAUAAAAUCGUUCGUACAAAGUACACAAACACUCAACUCGAGAAAUAAUAAAUAUUAAGACCUUCAACUUAAUUACGCACGUACUAAUUGUUAAGCCUAAUAUCGUGUACACAUUGAAACUCUGUGAACAAGACAUACAUAUUCUUCAUCAAGCCCUCUCCACAAUGGUGACCGGAAAGCCACCUUUCAUCUUUCCGGUGAGGUAGGCCACAAACUCUGGCUGGGCUCCACCCUCCCUCUCCACCGGGACCACCUUAAACCUCUUCAAAACCGCACUCACCACCCUCUUCAUCUGCAGAAACGCCAUCUCCUUCCCCAAGCAGAUCCUGGGCCCCGCCUGAAACACAGGGUAGGUGAACGAGUCCUUCCCGACAAACUUCCACUUGUGGGCCCCAUUCUCCUCUCUCUCCAGCCAUCUCUCGGGCCUGUACUCUGCCCAGUCCUCCCCCCAAAUCUCCUCCAUCCGCCCCAUCGCGUACACGUGGUAGGUCACCGUCAUUCCCUUCUUCACCUUCGUCCCGUCCGGCAAGACGUCGUCCUUCAUCGCCUGUUUGCUGUCCGCGGCAACCGGCGGGUACAGCCUCAUGCUCUCGCACAGCGCCGCGUGAGUGUACACCAUCUCCUUCACUUCAUCGUAACCACCUGCGGCCGACUCCGACGACACCGUUCCGCUGAUCUCCUUCAGAAUCUCGUCUUCCACAUGUUGGUUCUGCGAGAGUAGCCAGAAGAACCAUGUAAGCGCUGCCGACGUGGUGUCUCGGCCGGCGAGGGUAAAGCUGAUGACGAUGUCGGUGACGAACUUUUCAUCCGAGUGGCCUGAGCAUAAGAACCGGGAGAGGAGAUCCACGGACUCUAGAGCCUUCGUCUCGCUCAGCUCUCGCUUCUUUUCCCUAACAAUGGUGUUCGCGAACUCGCGAACUUCGGAGACCGCAGCUCGGAGGUGCUUCUCGGAGCCAAUUCCGAGAACCCUUUUGAGCUUCCACACUGGGGAUAACGAUCUGAACCUGUCACUGCUGAUUUGAACUGCGUCGUCGAAAGCUACUGCGAAUUUGGCUUCGGGCAGAGAGGGUAGCAGGUAAGCCGGAUCGUACCCAAAUGCGAUUCUGCUAAUGUUAUCGAAGGCGAAGCGUUGGAGAAUGUCCUGGAAGUCGAGAAUUGAAUUGCUGGUGGCGGAGGAGGAGAGAAUGGGAAUGAGGCGGUCGGAGAGCUCGGUGUCGACGACCUGUUCGACGAAUUUACGCAGAGACUUGGUGUUGAAUUCGUGGCUGGAGACUUGGCGCUGGAACUUCCAGUUGUCGCCGUCGGCGUUGAAGAUGCCGUGGCCGAGGAGGUCGGUGAGGGUGGUGCGGAUGGUGUUGCCUUUUUCGUAGAUGGGGAAAUGGGUCUUGAGGAUGUGCUGGACGACAGUGGGGUUGGCCGUGACGACGAAGUGCUUGCCCAGAGAGUGGUGGAGGGUGAAGGUGUUUGAUGGCGAGCUUCGGAGGAGGUCUGUGAACCAUGGGAGCCUGCGUUCAUGGUUUUUGGAGAGGGUUAUGAAAGAGCCGAUUAUUGGGUAUGAUUUGGGGAGCUUGGUGUUGUUGCUGGUUUUGGGGUUUGGUUGUGAUGAAGCCUUGAAGACGAAGAAGAAAAGUAAGGGAAGGAGGACCAGGGAGGCCAAGGUUAAGAGCUGAAGAAACAUGGCUGAUAAUGGCAGAAAAAUGGAAGUCUUUUUUGGGAUGUUCGACGAAAUGGCUGACUGAAGUAAUGGGUUUGUACAGCUUGGUAGUGCUUCUGGUUUGUGAUUUCUUGAUGAAUAGGUGGCAAGGUUUGGUUGCUAUUUGUAGUGUCACGUUGGUUUGAUUGGAUUGGAUUCGAUCAUAAGAGCAUCUCCACCCAUAAGGGCUAAGUCUAGGGCAAGGGCAAGCAAGGGCUGCCACUAUUCACGUGAAUAGUGUCAGGCUUGCCAUUUGUGGUUCCAUCCAUGAGGGCUAAGUCUAGGGCAAGUCUAAGGCAAUUACUAUUCACUUAAAUUUAUUUUAUUUUAUUUAUACUUAAAUCAUUGAUUUUGAUAAGCUUUUCGGAUAAGAUUUUCAAUUCCCAAGUGUUAAUAUUUAUCGUAAAAUCCUCACCUAAAAAUCAAGAUAACAUUUUCGGACAAAAUUUUGAAAUUAAAUUGGUGUGGAAAGUGAAUAAUAUUGGUAGGUAUGUAUAGAAAAAAAUUUCAGAAUUUUUUGAUAUAUUUUUUAAAAUUUUUUGAUUUUUUGUUCAAUUUUUUAAAGCCAAAAAUUGGACAAUCGUUGGAUUGUGCAAUAUUUUUUGAUCGGAGGCUCCAGGAGAAGCCACAUGGCUUGUAACUAUUGGGCAAUGUGGGCUAGUUGGGUCCAACAGUAAUAAAAAAUUUGAAAAUCAGCUGCUGACAUCAUGCUGAUGUCAGCAGCCCGAGGGCAACAGCCCAGGCAGAAUUAGCCUUUGGGCUUGCCCAGGCUGGUGGGACCCACCAUUUGCCCUGGCUCAUUGUUGUGCGCUGGAGCUGGAAUGGGCUGCCAGGGGGGCCUUUUGCCCAGGUUUGGUGCAGCGGUGGACAUGCUCUAAAAGAAAAUUUUAGACUUUUCAAUUUUCCCAAACAAUUACCUAAAAAGUAUGCUUGACUAGACUUAGUCUCAUAAAGAGCUUCCUGGAUUUAUGUUCACAUAAUGACAAAGACGUCUAUACGUAAGCAAAGUUGUCAUGAUGGUUGAGAAGUUCAUGUAGUAACCACCUAUUUAACAGGUGUAGGAUUUUAUACAAAAAAAUCUCGAUGUUAUUAGAAGUGAAAUUAUUUAUUAUAUAAAAAUUUUUAUUUUAUUAAAUUUCAUGAAAUUCAUGUAUUCUUCCAGUGAACCAAAAAACUUAUAUUGUCUUGGGCCCUUACCGUCCCUUGUUCUCUUGAUAAUAUCAUGGAUUGGGGACAAUAAUAUGACAAUUUGAGUUUCUAUCAUUUCUCUUCUUUUUAUGUGAUCCUCUCACUAUAUACUAUUUGUUUGUGUUUGUUUUAAGAAAGUAGAAGCAACCCUGCUUUUGCAAAGUUCCCUCUUCAUUGUUUGAACUGCUACCACGAAAUAAAAUAGGUAAAAGCAUUUUCAGAUAAUAAAAAAUAAUUCAAACAUUAGAAGUUUUUAUGGGUUAUAAAAUCGUUCGGAACGUUUCUUAACAAAGGUACUUUGAUGAAGUACUUGGGUUUUUAUGAAAGAUUUCAGUGUAUUUAUGAUAAAAGCAAUAAAAACGAUUGAGCAAAAACGCUUUCUAGACAAGUAUUUACAAAUGGGUUCUAACAUGAUUCUUGUGUUUGUAUUCAUCAUUUUUUAUUUUUGUUUGUUUUUCUUUCCACUACGUAAGCAAAACCGUCACAAUGAGGGUCGUUAUCAGCUGUGAGAAUGGCACAUUGCUGUUUCUUCGUUAUGGGAGUUUUCUAUGGUCAAUGUACGGUCACCAAUGGAUUGGGGAAAGGCCUGUAAGUCUUUUGAAACUUGAAAGCUUAGCCAGGAAGUAUCCACCAAUCCCAUUGCACAAGUCAUGUUCCAAAAGCCAAAGAAUACAUUAUUGCCAAAGUCAUCGAGUUAUUAUAUGUAACCACCAAGCAAUUUACUUAGCAAAGGAACUUCUUACAUCAGAGAGGGUGCACAGAUGGGCCGCCGCUCAUGAGUAGUGAUCCGACGAGAGAAACUAGCAUCAGAGGUUAAUGGUUGAAGGCUGGGGGCUGGGCCAAUAAAGAAAUGAAAAGGUGGGCAAGGAAGGCUCAACUAGCUAGAUGGGCCGCCGCUCAUGAGUAGUGAUCUAAUGUUUGAUCCGCCAGCCGAACAAGUAAGGGAUUUCUCGUAGGCCUCAUUAUUUGACCCGCGGGCUCAUGGGUCGAUGGGGGCCUGCCAGGCCCAUCGAAAAAAAGUUCGGUCCGGCUCGUUAUGGAUUUUGAGAUGACCCGGCCCGCCUUGGGCCAGGUUAGGCUUGGACUUGGGUGUCUAAAGACCGGCCCGGCCCGCCCACAAAAGCCUGACCCGUUAGGCCCGCAAAUAUAUAUAAUUAUGUAUAAAUAAGAGUUUAGGUUUAGGAUUAUAUCACUUAAAUCACAUAUAUAAUUUGUUUCAUUUCAUUUACUUUUCUUUACUCAUUCCUAGUUUAUAAUUGGAUGAUUAGCACAUUAAUUUGUGUCAAUUAUUAAUUCAACAAUUAUAUAUAUAUAUACACACACAGAGCUUCCAUUGAGGGAUCCUUCUUAUUUGAGGGAUACCCCUUGUAGACCCUACUCCGGAUUAUAUUUCACUAAUCAAAACCAUCUAUUUUGUAGAUACUCAUUCAAAGAUGAUCUCUACAAAAAAUUACUUAAAUCAGAUAUCAUUUGGCCACUCAAUUGAGUUAUUGAAAUUUUAGUAUUUUCUUGAAGCACCAUGUUCAUUGAUUUUGUAAGACACAAUUGGAUAUCGAAACGGUUUCCGAUUUGUCUAAUUUUUAGUAAGGAUGAUCUAUGAAUGAAGACCUAAAAAAUAGAUGGUUUGGAUCAUUGGGAAAAAAAUGGUAUGGUACCCUAAAGGGCGUCCUUCAAAUAAAAUUAUUUAAGGGAUCCCUCAAUAGAAGGGGACUGAUAUAUAUAUAUAUAUAUAUAUAAGAUGAACAACAUAUCACAUCACCAAAUAUAAUCAUAUCACGAAACAUAAUCGUACCACCAAAUAUAAUCAUGCUUUUCUUGAACGCAUCACCAAAUAUUUGCAUAUUUAUUCAUACCAUCCUUUAAAUUUUUAUUUUUAUUUUUUUUAUACUUAGUUUUUUUAAAAAAAUGAUUUCUUAAAACGUAUUACGAUCUAAUUAUGUAAUAACAUCAAAAAUAAUACUUGGUUUUAUUAUUUUUGUGAAAAUCUUAUAAGUUGUGUGACUUUAUUGGAUGUUUUAUGAAUUUGGUUUGAAGUGAAAAUAUUGAAAUUAAGUGAGUUUAAUCUCAAAUUUGGACUAAAAUGCCUUUAUGAUUAAGUUUAUGAUUUUUUUUUUAAUGAAGUAGGGCUCAUUUAGGCCCGGCCCGUUGAGUUUAGUCAGGCCCAGCCCGAUGGGCUUUCUCAAGCCCGGCUCAUAGGUCGGGCUUGGACUUUGAAUUUUCUAAAAAAAUCCGGUCUAGUUCGGCCCGAUAUUUUCUUUCUCCUCUUUAAAGCCCAGCCCAGCCCAACCCAAGUCUAUUAAAUUUAGGUCGGGUUAACCCGACCCGGCCCAUUGACGAGCUCUAGCUAGCUGGGCCCUUAUUUAUUUAGGACUAGUUUGGUGCCCUAGCUAAAGUAGGUACUAGUUAGCCAACCUGAGGAGCCUUGGUGUGACGCGGUUUCGAUUGAUCCAGACCCAGACCAUGUCACACCUUAAGUCCCUAGUGGUUGGAGAGCCUUCCAGUAUGACGAUUACUCCAACAUUAUGAUUCUCUCACUCUAUCUUUUCCGCUGCAACUUCUCCACUUUGCCCCACAAGCCACAACUUUUUACCUGUUGUUGUGAAAAUUAAUUAAUUGUAACUAAUAAUUAAGUAUGUUAAUCCCACAAUUAAUCUUACCUGGACAACUUGACAUUGUUGUAGCUAGCUUCCUCCUGAUCUCACACACUGAUAUUUAUAUAUAUUUUUUGAUGAUAUUUAUAGAUUGGAAGAGUUCACUUUCAAUUCAAGCAUCUACUUAAUUCACUUUGAUGCUGACUAUGUAUAUGUCACGCCCCGAACUCGGGGUAGGUGAAAAUCCCGUGCUCGGCGCGUGAGAAAAUAAAAACUAAAAUAAAAUAAAAAUAAAAUAAAUAAUUGUUUAAAAUAAACUUCUUUUAUAAAUAAAUAUUUAAAAUAAAAAAUAAAAAAGCUCCCAAAAUGUUACAACUUUACAAGAAAUAAAUAAAGCUCUACUACUCUCAUCUAAUUUAGCCUUAAUUGAUUUAAUCCUUGUUUUGCCUACUAAUUCAUCUGAAAAAUUAAACAGGGUAAAGGGUGAGCAACCACAGCUCAGUAGGGACAUAAGACCUUACCACAAUAGAUUGAUAUAACUAAAUUAUAUGACAUGCAAUCACACAACCAAAUAUCACAUUAAUAAUAAUGCAUGAAUGAACUUCAAUUCUACCCAACCCGUUAAUUUAUAUAAUAGGGCAAGCAAAUCUGCAUGUCCCAUACCAUGUACUUUACCACUGUGAUUCCGAAUGCCCCAUUAUAUAAAAUAACACCCAUAUCAAUUAUCCCAUAAUUCCCUUUUUGCUAGUCAUCUUGUCUAAACCAUUGAUCUCCAAGCCCAAAUCACCCAAUCGACAAUUAUACCGCCGAUUUCCUAAUCUACUGUGCACACGGGCUCGCCUGAACUUGGUCCCUACAAUGGUCAGACUAAACUACACAAAAGAUCCUUCCCAUUACCCUCUUUUCCCUAAUUAUUUUCUCAAUCCAACAACUCCAACCAAUUACCAUGACAUGAUAUAAGUAUGCCAAUAUUAUGCAAAUAGUUCACAAUACAUAAAUAUCAUAUAGUAAGAAUAUUAUACAAUAUCAAAAAUACCCAUUAUAAUAGCACACAUAAUAUAGAAUUCACGAAAUUUAAUUAAAUCAAUCUUUGUAAAAGGUCACCAAAAAACCCCUACCUCAAUUCCAAAGCAAGCUCAAAAUUUUAAGAAAACACAAGCUUCUCUCUCCUUUCAAUUGUAAAAUGCCCUAUUUAUAUUAAGGAAAAGUCGGUUGCUACUAACUUAUGGCGGCUAACAAAAUAACGUGUUGUCGAUUUGGCAUGAUAUUAACAAGAUAAGGCUGCCAGCAACCCAAAAUUAUAGCAUGAGGUGUCUCAUGCUCUGCAAAGUAAAUAGAUAAACUCAAGGUGAUAAUGCAUGUAAUGAAUAUAAAACUGCCAGGUAUAAAAUGUCAUAGCAUGAGGUGUUGCAAAUGUAAUAGGAUUACUACACCUUUCAACUCAGCCAUUUAACAUGCAUGAAGUGAACUACACAUGAAUAACAAGCUUCUUUAUAUAUUUAUUUAAUAAUUAAAGAAACUAAAUAUUAUCAUAAAUAUAUAAAUAUAUAAGUAUUAUUAUAAUAAUAUUUAUAAUAAUUAAAAAAAUAUGUAACAACAAUAUAUAUAAUCAAUUUAAAUAUAUAACUAAAUAGGCAGUAAAAUAUAUAUAUUUUUAAAAAUUCGGUUUUUCACAGUUUAGCUUCGUGUCAGUCACUUAUUUGACUUUGAUGCUGACCAGGUCGACCUCGGGCAAUCCUUCCAAACCAACUCUGCAAGACCAAGUAGGUCAUCGUCUAGAAUGAGUGCAACUUGUUAGUAGCGGUUGAGUUUGGACUCACAUUUCAGCCGACCCAUUUGAGGUCUGGCUUGAGAUCAAAUGGCCUCUUAUGCACAAAUUCAUACUUGGCCUUUUAUGCACUUCCAACAAAUAAGCGUGAGAACUCCCACGCUUAUAAAAACUUAAAUGUUAUAAAAAUAAUUAUCAUAGUAUAAAAAAUACCACUGAAUAUUGGGAGUAAGAUUGUAUUUGCUCUUAUGAUUUUUAUAAUGACAGAACUUUCUCAUUCUGAUAAAACUCUUCUAGGAUUAAGCUCUCACUCUCUCAAAUUUCUCUCUCUCUAUUUUCUCUUUGGAUCGGUGGUGUCCUACAACUGAAUGAGCAAGCCUAUUUAUAGGCAAAUUAGAUGAUUUCCCGUGCAUCUCCAAAAUCUUCUUUUCCUAACAUCAUCAUCAUUUUCCUUUUGACUAUUAUUUUCUUAUUUCAUUCAAAUUUUCAACAAAAUAAUACCCGUACAUAUCAAGUGAUAAACGCUUCAAAAUGGAAAAUGGGAGACACCAAUCCCAAUUGAGAGUUGGCAUUGGGAGGUUAACUAAACUGAUGUUGGUUGGCAGAUUCUUCCAUUGCUAAGUUACCGUUUUAAGCCGAUGUUCACUUAUGUUUUUUUUUGGGGUAAACACGUUUUAUUUCCUCUUUUUUUUGGUUUAAUGUACACAUCUAUGCAGACGUGCUCGCGUUUCAUUUAUUUGCCCUUGUUUUUUAUUGGUCGGACGGACGACUUCUCGACUUUCGAGUCAUAGUGAAACUUUACCUUUUUAAGGUUUGAUCAUAAACUUAUGGAACAAAAGUUCCUCGCUGUACGGACAGGUCUUGCUUCUUCACAAGGUCUUGUCCAAAGUCUUUCAAGUUCCGAUUUCAGAGCUGAGGACAACGACAAGGAAAACGAUACGAAGAAGCUGAAGCUGAAGAUGGGCUUCGUGGGUCUUGUUGAAUUUGCCUUUCAGUGCUUUGAUGUUCUUGCAUGGUAUGCUUUGCUCUAAGAGAAACAGUUGAUCAAAUUUUUCUCAGAAUAUGAUAUAGUAAGCUUGUCAUCAUUUCCAUGUUGUUUGUGAUUUUUUAUUUUUCCUCUUGUCUUUUAUUUUUUGGGUUUUUUUCUUUUUUGUUUUUAAUUGCAGCCCUCUACUUGCUCUGCUGUAUCCUCUGUAAGCCUCUCUGCCCCACCCUCAUACAUUUUUAUUUUGAAGAAACAAUGUUUUUCUUUACCAAUUUUGUUCCGAUUUCAAAUUUUUCGAUAUUACAUUUGAUGAUGUCAUGAUGAUGAUUACUUUAUAAUAAUUUUGUUUUGAUUAAUGACGACUUAAAAACUGCAAUAUCGAUGUUGAUACAGUGAUGAAGAUCUCCUUGAUGUUUGUAUUUUCUUUUGACAGAUGUUGUUCCAUUAGGGCGAUUGAGGCCAAUUCUAUUUCAGAUUCUCAGAGGUUGAAUGCUUAUUGGGUUGUCUUCUCAUUGAUUUUGCUCUUUGAACAUGCAUUUAUGAAGUUCCUUGAAUGGUAAUUCUGCUGUUUAUUUUAUUGCAUAUUUUAGGCAAGAAAAGCUUUGACAGAACUUUCAGGCUAGUUAUCAUGAAAUCCUUUCAGAAGUGUGAAUUUAAUGUUGCGAGUUUCCCCCAAGUUUCGCUCAAUUAAUUUGAUCGUCCAUAAUUUUUAUUUCUUAAUACAUACAUUGUAAAUAAAAUUGAAAAAGGAAUGAGAUUUUCAAACAUUUCCUAGCCUUCACUAGAAUAAUAAGGAGAGCAGAGAUUUUCACAAUCUGGUUGUUCUCAAUUUCUGGAAUCUUCUUCCGACCGCCAUGAAAAAUUGUCAGAAGUGAAUUUGUGUGCAUAAUCCAUUCAUUGUGGUAUUAUUGAGACGAAACAGAGAGUUUCAUAAAUAAUUUUGAAGUUACUUUUCAAGAUGGUUGUGAUAUAUUAUGCAUGUUUUCAUAUAUGUGGUAGCUUUCUGGUAAUACAUUCACAAUCACAUGGAGUAGCAGUUAGUUUAACAGAUGUAUGAACACAAUUGUAAUACGUUCAUGUUUUCAUAUUUGACAUUCUGCUCAUUGCUUUUUUUUUUUUUUUUUCUUUUUCUCAUUCAAUUCAAACAUGUGAAAUGGAUGUAAUUCAUCAUCUUCAGAUCUUUGUCCCUGCAAUAUCACAUCCAUCUGCAUACUUCCAUAAAAUCUGCCGAGUUAGGUCUCGGUCAGGUCCUUUUGGAUAUAGUGCUGCUGACAUUUGUUAUACAACUUUUCAUUGUUCAAUGAUCAUCUAGUUAUGUUUCCUAUUUUUCCCAAAUCUGUACCUGUCAGGCUCCCACUGUGGCCGCACAUUAGGCUAAUGAUUGUCUUCUGGUUGCUGAUACCUCAAUAUGGUGGUGCAUUUUAUGUCUAUAACCACCUUAUCCGUCCAUGCCUCUCCGUGGACCUACAAAUUGUUAUCAACUGGUUUAACAAGCGGAAGAAGUCCUCGUUUGACAGAGACAAUUUUCUUGCCGAGGUGGAGAGAUAUGUAAAGGAGAACGGACCUGAAGCGCUGGAAAAUAUUGUUGCUUCCACAGUAAGUAGGUCGAAUUCUAUGAAGAAAAUAUUUUGUUAUAUAUGAAUAAAUUAUUUCCUAGAAUAUGCAAUUGUAUAGAUGCUUUGAACUGUGGAAAACCACAUUCAGUUUUGGUUGUCAAGACCCUCUGUGGAAUCUUUGUAUAGAUGCUUUGACUAAUAAUACGUUUCUGCUUCAGUCUGAGAAAACAAAGUCAAGUCCCGAUGCGAAAGAGUUCAAAGCAGUUUCUCUGGAUAAUAAAGAGGUACAGUAUCCCUGAUGCAACUCGUACAAAAUUCAUAGACUUUUCUAUACACUCCAGUGGUUUUUCGUUGAUGUCCUUUGUUAGAUGAAUAAUGUUUAAUAAGAAAUUCAAUUUGAUUUUGAAUUAUGCUUGAUUUAAAGCGAAAAUAUAUUGUGAAUUUAAGUUUGCAAUAGCCUAAUCUAUUAAUUUGAUGACCUAAUGAUGCAGAAGACACCUUUUGAAGGUGCUUAUGGACUUAAGCCUCAAAAUGUUCUUGACUUAGUUCCACUUCCAGAAGAGAUGAAGAUGAGUGAUGAUGGAGAGGGUUUGGCGGACCAAGUGAAAAGAGUGCACGAAGAAGUGAGGGCAGUAAUAAAGGCUAGUUCUGCAGACAAUCAACACCGAAGAGUCAAAGAUUUUGAAGAAGGUGACAUGGUUUGGGUGCAUUUGAAGAAGGAAAGAUUUCCAAAAGACACAUACCAUAAAUUGAAGUCCAAGAUGUUUGGGCCAUAUAAGGUGUUGAAGAAAAUGAGCUCAAUCGCUUACAUGAUAGAGCUGCCACCGGAUCUCCAGAUUAGCCCAUAUUUCAAUGUGUUUGAUUUGUAUUUGUUUGAGGGAUUUGAUGAAGAAACAAUUUCAAAGGAGGCACAACCAUAUAUUGUUGAGGAUGUGUUGGAUGUCAAAGAGGUGACGUCAAAGAAGGGUAACCAAUAUAGGCGGUUCUUAGUGAAAUGGUUGGGUAAGAAUGCUACUGAGAAUACUUGGAUUGCUGAAUAUGAUUUAAAGAGGAUUGUUGCAGAGAGAUAUGCUGAAGUUGUUAAAGCUUUCUCGCCAGAGUCGACUUCUUCCCAACCUGGUGGAGUUGAUGCAGGAUCAUCUGUUCGUUAGCCAAGUCAUUUCAACACACGCAGAAAACCCGCAACCACAAAAGCUUUGGAAAAUAAAAAUGCCUAGUGAAUUUUAAAGCAAUCUCAAACAACAUGGCAGAGCUUGAUGAGAUAU
rnacentral:lncRNA from 1 species